rnacentral:SRP_RNA from 1 species
GCCGGGCGUGUUGGCACGUGCCUGUAGUCCCAGCUACUUGGGAGGCUGAGGUGGGAGGAUCACUUGAGCCCAGGAGUUCUGGGCUGUAGUGCUAUGCUGAUCGGGUGUCUGCACUAAGUUCGGCAUCAAUAUGGUGACCUCCUGGGAGCGGGGGACCACCAGGUUGCAAAAGGAGGGGUGAACCAGUCCAGGUUGGAAAGGGAGAAGGUCAAACUCCCGUGCUGAUCAGUAGUGGGAUCGCACCUGUGAAUAGCCACUGCACUCCAGCCUGGGCAACAUAGCGAGACCCUGUCUCU